UGACAGCAGGGACUGUACCUGUGGGUCACGGCUAAACCACCUGUGCCUGGAAGUUGGCAGGUGCACUAUGACUGUCCGCUGAACGAAUGGAUGAUCCUGGGUUAUGAUUUAUACCUCAUUAAAUCUUCAAAAUUGGAGGCGUAAUUUUUGUAAACAGUAAAUUUACUAUGAAGGAGGUUCAGACAAUGGAGCAGAGGGGCAGAGACCUGGGUUAAUGUUCCCCAGGUCCCAUGGCUAGAACUGACGGGGCUGGAAUCACAGUCCACAUCGUCUCUAAUCUGUCUGCAGCCUGUCCUUCUCAGUUCCUCCAAGUUGCCUGCUGAUCUGAUGAGAACCCUGUGAUGUAAGAAUACACCAGCAUUUCAACAUGCUCCAUGUGGAAACCAGCAUCAACCUCUAUGUUCUUGUAAUCCAUACAUUCAAAGGAGAAGAUGACUCUUGAAGGUGGAGUACUUUGCAGCCAUCUGCACCCCUGACACUUGGGAUACGUCUUUAAGACAAACACAGGGAGUACUGAUUGCGGGCCACACUUGGGUUAAUCAGAGGAGUCGUCCUGGGAUAAAGAGUAUGGUUCAAGCCAUGGUAAAUUGAGGACACUGUUGGUGUUACUUUCUUAGGGGAGGUAACUAGCCCUUGUCGAUGGGAAUUAACAGAAGGCAAACUGGGAAUGAAAGAUGAAGACAAUUCAGGAAAGAAAUAAAGAGCCUGUGAAGCUUUCUGUAAAAGAAACCAAUGUUUAAAAGGAAGUUUCAGUUAGUUGACAACCUUUUCAGAGUCCAUGCCCUACAGAAUCAAUUAUACUUUCUGCUCUCCGAUUACACUGGAUAAAAAUGCCUUUUACUGCACAUUGUUUAUGUGUUAAGUUCUCUGUUCUAGGGCAGGAGAGAAGACUAUGGAUAGUUACUGAAAGAGUGUAUUGCGUGUGGUGAACAUUUAAUACUGAAAGACAUGGAAAGGACGGACAACUAGAGGUCUGUCCACCCUGGGUCUUUGGAGCUCCUUAAUCCUCCGUGUCUAGUGAAGUUUCUCAUGUUUCUCACUAUGUGUAA